GUCUUAGCCCAGAGAACCAGAUUUGAGCUAUUCCCUUUCUCUAUCUAGGGUUUUGGAGUUGAGAGAAGUAGAAAUAGUGAUUUAAGCUUUAUUUUCCUCUUUUCUCUUGUUGCUUGCUGGUUUGGUGAGUUCGAGCAGCUGUGGAAGAGUGAAAAGGAGUCUUGGGGAGAGGUAUUUCGUGACCUUAGCUCUAUAGGAAGCUAAGUUGAAGUUUUAUGAGGUAAGCUAAUCAUUUCUCUCUCUAGUUUGAUGCUAGUAGGGAAGUUGAUGUUGGUUCUUUGUUCUUUGCUGCUAGCUGAAUUGGAGAAGAGUUUUAGCAGCUAUAAAGAUGUGUUUGCUGUACCCUAACUCAGUGAGAGCUGAGUUGAAGCCUUGUGAGGAGGUUUUGAGGAUAGUUGUAGCAACUGUAGCAGAGAGGUUUAGCUGUGGUUCUUCAAUUCUAAUCCCAGGAAAAGCUGAAUUAAAGCUUUGGGAAGGUUCACAGCAGGAUAUUGGAUUCCUUUGGCUGGGAUUCAUGAACUUUGGAAGGUUGGUUUGAUGUGUUCCAACCUGAAUAGAAAGGGAAUUCAAGUUUGGUUACUCCUAGGAUGCUUUGGAGGCUGCGGAUCACUUUGAAUUGAGUUUUGGUGAUUCUUAAAGGCCAGUUUUGAAGUGCUUCAACCUGAUUUAAAAGAAAGUUCAAGUGUGGAUUCUAAACUAGGGCACUUGGAAGCUAGGGAACAUCUCCAGUUGCGGGAUUGCCGAAAGUCGGCAGUGAAUUGAGCUUUCCACAGCGGGAAAAGUUAGAGUUCUCGGCGAGGGGUCAGCGGCUAGCUAGAGCCUUCUCGAUGUUAAAUAGAUGAACCUCUACCAAUUUAUAUAGUUUAGUUCAGUGUUGUAUACUGGGUUUAUGUAAUUGUACUUGUUCUUAUCAGUGGUAAUAAGGUUAUGUGUUGUAUAAGUUUAUGAAUUUUUUAAAGUUUU